UCCUACGGGGGGCAGCAGUGAGGAAUAUUGGUCAAUGGGCGGGAGCCUGAACCAGCCAAGCCGCGUGAGGGAAGAAGGUACAGCGUAUCGUAAACCUCUUUUGUCAGGGAACAAAGGCGGGGACUAGUCCCCGGAUGAGGGUACCUGAAGAAAAAGCAUCGGCUAACUCCGUGCCAGCAGCCGCGGUAAUACGGAGGAUGCGAGCGUUAUCCGGAUUUAUUGGGGUUAAAGGGAGCGCAGGCGGCCUGUUAAGUCAGCGGUAAAAGCCCGGGGCUCAACCCCGUCGCGCCGUUGGAACGGGCGGG
rnacentral:rRNA from 1 species